rnacentral:tRNA from 1 species
GCCGGGAUGGCGGAACUGGUAGACGCACGGGACUCAAAAUCCCGCGCCGCAAGGCGUGCCGGUUCGAUUCCGGCUCCCGGCACCA